rnacentral:rRNA from 1 species
AAAAGGUGGCUAUGCUACCGCUUUUGGAUGGGCCCGCGGCGCAUUAGCUAGUUGGUGGGGUAAAGGCUUACCAAGGCAAUGAUGCGUAGCCGAACUGAGAGGUUGAUCGGCCACAUUGGGACUGAGACACGGCCCAAACUCCUACGGGAGGCAGCAGUAGGGAAUCUUCCACAAUGGGCGAAAGCCUGAUGGAGCAACGCCGCGUGGGUGAAGAAGGUCUUCGGAUCGUAAAACCCUGUUGUUAGAGAAGAAAGUGUGUGAGAGUAACUGUUCACGUUUCGACGGUAUCUAACCAGAAAGCCACGGCUAACUACGUGCCAGCAGCCGCGGUAAUACGUAGGUGGCAAGCGUUAUCCGGAUUUAUUGGGCGUAAAGGGAACGCAGGCGGUCUUUUAAGUCUGAUGUGAAAGCCUUCGGCUUAACCGGAGUAGUGCAUUGGAAACUGGGAGACUUGAGUGCAGAAGAGGAGAGUGGAACUCCAUGUGUAGCGGUGAAAUGCGUAGAUAUAUGGAAGAACACCAGUGGCGAAAGCGGCUCUCUGGUCUGUAACUGAUGCUGAGGUUCGAAAGCGUGGGUAGCAAACAGGAUUAGAUACCCUGGUAGUCCACGCCGUAAACGAUGAAUGCUAAGUGUUGGAGGGUUUCCGCCCUUCA